UAUGAUUAUUACGAAAUGGUUAAAUUCAUGAAAUCGAGACCUAAAUGAAACGUGUUCAGCCAUCAUCGAGUGUAGAAAAGCUUCAAGUAUCCAGGUCCGAUAUUCUUCAUUUUAGACUCGAUUUCUCACUGAAUUUCGAUUCCAGUGAACAGCAUUCAUUUGACAUUUGAUCAAGGGUUCCAAUAAUUGUGCAGGUUUUUUUUUUUAAUGUUGUAGGCUUUCACUAUUUUAACCUAUUUGGCUAUUCAGACUUCUGACUUGUUAGAAGAAUAGUUUCUGUUUAGGUGAAUUUCAUGAGUUUUUUUUAAUUUAAUUUGGAAGAAUUUUAAAAUUAAAUAUUACAAGUGUAAUAAACUUUCAGAAGUAUUUUGAUGUAAUUGUGA